rnacentral:lncRNA from 1 species
UGGAGAGAUGACCGUCAUCGAGUAACACGUGACACCCAGGAGUGACAAGCCGUCCGCUCUGGAGAUCUCUUUCCGAACCACACCAGCAACCCCACUGCAUCACUGAACCUCUCUUCCUGUCCCCACUCACAUGCCCAGUCUCUCAUUUCCUGGCAACGCUAAUACGCCCCUCCACCGCAAGAAUCCCAAUAAAGCCUGACCGCAGCAGACUCAGCUGGGCUUUGUCUCUUUUUUCCCUAUCUUGGGUGUGUCCAGUAAGUGGAGAGGCUGCAGAGAACCACUCUAGCGAGUCAAGAGCUCAUGAGAAAGUUAGCCAACAGCC